CCGAGUUUACAACUCCCAAACCCCUGUGAACAUACCAAUUGUUGCCUCGGCGGAUCAGCCCGCUCCCGGUAAAACGGGACGGCCCGCCAGAGGACCCCUAAACUCUGUUUCUAUAUGUAACUUCUGAGUAAAACCAUAAAUAAAUAA
rnacentral:misc_RNA from 1 species